rnacentral:rRNA from 1 species
GUGCACGCUGGCGGUAGGCCUAACACCUGCAAGUCGAACGGCAGCACAGUAAGAGCUUGCUCUUACGGGUGGCGAGUGGCGGACGGGUGAGGAAUACAUCGGAAUCUACUUUUUCGUGGGGGAUAACGUAGGGAAACUUACGCUAAUACCGCAUACGACCUACGGGUGAAAGCAGGGGAUCUUCGGACCUUGCGCGAUUGAAUGAGCCGAUGUCGGAUUAGCUAGUUGGCGGGGUAAAGGCCCACCAAGGCGACGAUCCGUAGCUGGUCUGAGAGGAUGAUCAGCCACACUGGAACUGAGACACGGUCCAGACUCCUACGGGAGGCAGCAGUGGGGAAUAUUGGACAAUGGGCGCAAGCCUGAUCCAGCCAUACCGCGUGGGUGAAGAAGGCCUUCGGGUUGUAAAGCCCUUUUGUCGGGAAAGAAAAGCAGCAGGUUAAUACCCCGCUGUUCUGACGGUACCCAAAGAAUAAGCACCGGCUAACUUCGUG